UGUUGAUUUACUAACACCUUUCAAGAGAAUUCAAGUAUGGUCCAAUAGUGAAACAAAACAGUUAAUGGAUCUUUAUAAACGUUUAAUAUGUGAUGUUGGGCCAGAAAAAAGAUUUACCAUAAAAAAAGAAAUGUGGGCUGAAAUUUCUACAUACUUUCCAAAUAAGGGUCCUAAGCAAUGUGAACAGCGCUACAAUACUGUUCUUAAAAGAAAGAAAAAAGGUCUUACAAAGGUCUAUAUAUCGGAGGCAAGAAGAAAAACUAUAGAUUGUGCUCAAAAUACGUUUGAAAUCAAUCGAAUACAUAAAAAGGAAAAAAGAAGAGAUAAAACUAUACCGCAAAUAAAUACGGAGAAGAAAUUUCAUCCAGAGAAGAGAAUUCUUACCAUACCGGAAGCCUUGUUGCAGAUAUCUGACAAUAAAGAAAAAGCUAAAGAAAGGCGCCAUAAAGAAAAGAUGCAAGUUAUUAAACAAAUGCAAAAUUUAUUACAACAAAUUUUAGAUAGUAGUAAAAAUAUGUAGUAGACAUAAAAUUAAUAGUUAAUUUAUUUAUAAAUAAUACAUAGUUUUAAAAUUUUUGUAAUUUUCUUAUUUAUUAAAAUCGCCUUUCGAAUGGUAUAUAAUAUAUUUAAGUAACCUCGAGAAA